GCUUGUAAUGCAGAACGCAUAUCCCUGUGUGUGUUGAUGCUGUCUGAUCUGGAUUUUAGCUUGUGGGAUUCCCAGUCGGAUAUGGUUCAGCAGCCACAGCAAGGUGUGGUCAUCUAUGGUGUCUACAAAAAAACAAAAAAAGACACUCUUGGAGCCUCUUAAUGAGUGUAUUCACAUAAGGAUGUUGAAACGACGACAUUCUCCAGAGCUUGGCAGAAGUAGCAGCAGUAACCGUGGGAGGACGGAGCCGUGGAAAGGUCAAUCCAAUCAAAUAAGGGCAUUGUCAAGGUGGAAGUGUCACCAAGAGGAGGAGACAAGGACCGCAAACUCUGCCAGAAAGAACUCUUCUGGAUUUAUACUUGAGGCACCCUAAAGCCGUUAGGAUAUAAUAAGAAUUUAAUAUGAGGGUCAUGUUGUAAUUCCCACUGUCAUUAUCUUAGCUUCACACACACGCACGCAUGCACACACACACCGGUGUAGGUGUCCUGUAAUCAUGAAGGCCCUAGUGCCUGAUAGGUUACCUUAACCUUUAUCUAGUUGUUUUCUAGAGUUCUGCAUACAGUACCAGUCAAACGUUUGGACACACCUGCCCAUUCCAGGGUGUUUCAUUAUUUUCAUAUUUUCUACAUUGUAGAAUAAUAGUGAAGACAUCAAAACUAUGAAAUAACACAUAUGGCAUCAUGUA